rnacentral:lncRNA from 1 species
CCCAGGGACAUCAGAAGAAUAUACAAAUAGGAAACUGGAAGAGUCUAGGGAAAGGGAGGCGCCAGUACUUGUGCUAGAAGCCAUAGUCAAUGAACCGGCUUAAAUGAACAACUUUUUCAACAAAGAUAAUACAACCAGAACAGCUAUUCACACACAACAACCAACAAACAGAAUACAGUCAAGUCAAGUAUUCACAGACAACACCAGAUACUCACAAGUACACAGUCAAGUAAUCACAUAUAAUAUCGAAGAUAAGGACAGAGUUACCCUCCUUCUUCGCGACCGGAGAAUAUCGGCCUUCAAACAACAGAGAAACCUUAGGUAUCAAACCCUAGGUGUAACCUUAAGAACAACUUUACUGGAAAUGUGGUCAGGAACGUCGGAGAGGCACCCAAAACAUCCACUAAGUGAGAAUCGAGCCACCGGAAGGCAGUAAAACUUCAGGUUAAACCACCAGAAACCCUAGAAGCCGAUAGGUCACCCAAAAUCAACCAAAAAUAAUCAUAAAAUCUUCCAGAAUGUUCAGGAGAAGAAAAUACACUCCGAUAUCACGAUGAAAGACUCAGAAAAGUCUCCGAUAGGUCGAAAUCUUCAUCGACCGUGAGGUCUCAGAAAUCACCCCCAAAAACCUCGAAACAGACUUCAUCCAAGACCACGAAGCACAUAGAUGGUCACCCAAAAUCAACCAAAAAUCAUCAUAAAAUCUUCCAGAAUGUUCAGGAGAAUAAAAUACACUACGAUAUCACGAUGAAAGACUCAGAAAAGUCUCCGAUAGGUUGAAAUCAUCAUCGACCGUGAGGUCUCAGAAAUCACCCCCAAAAACCUCGAAACAGACUUCAUCCAAGACCACGAAGCACAUAGAAACAUGAUCGGAUCGUCGUC